UACGGAGGGUGCGAGCGUUAAUCGGAAUUACUGGGCGUAAAGGGCGCGUAGGCGGUUAGGUAAGUCGGGUGUGAAAGCCCUGGGCUUAACCUGGGAAUGGCAUUCGAGACCACCUAGCUAGAGUCUGGUAGAGGGAAGUGGAAUUUCCGGUGUAGCGGUGAAAUGCGCAGAUAUCGGGAAGAACACCCGUGGCGAAGGCGGCUCUCUGGGACGGUACUGACGCUGAGACGCGAAAGCGUGGGGAGCGAACAGGAUUAGAUACCCUGGUAGU
rnacentral:rRNA from 1 species